CGUGGUGCAUACGAAAAUGCA
rfam:Beet virus Q genomic RNA 3